rnacentral:rRNA from 1 species
GGCCAGACUCCUACGGGAGGCAGCAGUGGGGGAUAUUGCACAAUGGGGGGAACCCUGAUGCAGCGACGCCGCGUGGGUGAAGGAGCGUUUCGGCGCGUAAAGCCCUAUCGGCAGGGAAGAAGGAGGACGGUACCUGACUAAGAAGCCCCGGCUAACUACGUGCCAGCAGCCGCGGGAAUACGUAGGGGGCAAGCGUUAUCCGGAUUUACUGGGUGUAAAGGGGGCGCAGACGGCAGCGCAAGCCAGGAGUGAAAGCCCGGGGCCCAACCCCGGGACUGCAUUUGGAACUGUGUAGCUGGAGUGUCGGAGAGGCAGGCGGAAUUCCUAGUGUAGCGGUGAAAUGCGUAGAUAUUAGGAGGAACACCAGUGGCGAAGGCGGCCUGCUGGACGAUGACUGACGUUGAGGCUCGAAAGCGUGGGGAGCAAACAGGAUUAGAUACCCCUGUAGA